GAUGAACGCUGGCGGCGUGCCUAAUACAUGCAAGUCGAGCGAACAGACGAGAGUGCUUGCACUCUCUGACGUUAGCGGCGGACGGGUGAGUAACACGUGGGUAACCUACCUAUAAGACUGGGAUAACUUCGGGAAACCGGAGCUAAUACCGGAUAAUAUUUAGCUUCGCAUGAAGCAAUAGUGAAAGACGGUUCUGCUGUCACUUAUAGAUGGACCCGCGGUGUAUUAGCUAGUUGGUGAGGUAACGGCUCACCAAGGCAACGAUACAUAGCCGGCCUGAGAGGGUGAUCGGCCACACUGGGACUGAGACACGGCCCAGACUCCUACGGGAGGCAGCAGUAGGGAAUCUUCCGCAAUGGACGAAAGUCUGACGGAGCAAUGCCGCGUGAGUGAAGAAGGUUUUCGGAUCGUAAAACUCUGUUGUAAGGGAAGAGCAAGUACGUUAGUAACUGAACGUACCUUGACGGUACCUUACCAGAAAGCCACGGCUAACUACGUG
rnacentral:rRNA from 1 species